CCAUCUUUCAAAAAAAAAAAAAACAGAGAGCCUUUGCUCUCUCCUUCUCCCUUCCUCCUUUCAGCUAGGGUUUCGACCUCAACCUUGGAGCGUCACCUCACCACCAUCGGACUCGGUGGCCGACCACGCGAAGAAGGAACGCAAUGAGAGGCCGGAGGUCUAGACGAAAGUGAUGGGACGGGGUUGGUGCAAGGACGAGGAGUGUCAAAGACACGUGGGUGGUGCUACAGGCGCGGAGGCUGCUGGUAUGACGCACAUGGGUAGCGGCGCAGAGGUUGGAUAGAAACCCUAGGGUUUCUGAAAAUUUUAAACAUUUUGGGCCUGUUGGGCUUUAUAGUUUUUGGGCUCAAAUUUGGACUUGGACUAUUUGUUAUUUGUUUUUUUUUUUGUUUUUAUGUUUUCUUAAUUGUUUAGGCUGGUUAAUUUGGCCUGGGCAAAUUUGGGUACUUACAGUUAACUUUUUGAACCUAAAA